UUUUGGGCAAUGGGCGAAAGCCUGACCCAGCAACGCCGCGUGAGGGAUGAAGUAUUUCGGUAUGUAAACCUCGAAAGAAUGGGAAGAAUAAAUGACGGUACCAUUUAUAAGCUCCGGCUAACUACGUGCCAGCAGCCGCGGUAAUACGUAGGGAGCAAGCGUUGUUCGGAUUUACUGGGAGUAAAGGGCGCGUAGGCGGCGCGGUAAGUCACUUGUGAAAUCUCUGAGCUUAACUCAGAACGGCCAAGUGAUACUGCUGUGCUAGAGUGCGGAAGAGGCAACCGGAAUUCUUGGUGGAGCGGUGAAAUGCGUAGAUAUCAAGAGGAACACCUGAGGGGAAG
rnacentral:rRNA from 1 species